AACGCGAAGAACCUUACCUGGGCUCGAACGGCUUAAGACCAUCUUUGGAAACAGAGACUUCCCGCAAGGGACUUGAGUCGAGGUGCUGCAUGGCUGUCGUCAGCUCGUGUCGUGAGAUGUUGGGUUAAGUCCCGCAACGAGCGCAACCCUUGUCCUGUGUUGCCACUCCGUAAGGAAGCACUCGCAGGAGACCGCCAGCGAUAAGCUGGAGGAAGGUGGGGAUGAUGUCAAGUCAUCAUGGCCUUUAUGUCCAGGGCUACACACGUGCUACAAUGGACGGUACAAAGCGCUGCAAACCCGCGAGGGGGAGCUAAUCGCAAAAAACCGUUCUCAGUUCGGAUCGCAGGCUGCAACUCGCCUGCGUGAAGCUGGAAUCGCUAGUAAUGGCGUAUCAGAACGAUGCCGUGAAUACGUUCCCGGGCCUUGUA
rnacentral:rRNA from 1 species